GAUGAACGCUGGCGGCAGGCUUAACACAUGCAAGUCGAACGCCCCGCAAGGGGAGUGGCAGACGGGUGAGUAACGCGUGGGAAUCUACCCAGUUCUACGGAAUAACCCAGGGAAACUUGGACUAAUACCGUAUACGCCCUACGGGGGAAAGAUUUAUCGGAAUUGGAUGAGCCCGCGUUGGAUUAGCUAGUUGGUGGGGUAAUGGCCUACCAAGGCGACGAUCCAUAGCUGGUCUGAGAGGAUGAUCAGCCACACUGGGACUGAGACACGGCCCAGACUCCUACGGGAGGCAGCAGUGGGGAAUAUUGGACAAUGGGCGCAAGCCUGAUCCAGCCAUGCCGCGUGAGUGAUGAAGGCCUUAGGGUUGUAAAGCUCUUUCAGUGGGGACGAUAAUGACGGUACCCACAGAAGAAGCCCCGGCUAACUUCGUGCCAGCCGCCGCCGUAACAC
rnacentral:rRNA from 1 species